rnacentral:rRNA from 1 species
UAAGGGCGUAUGGGGGAUGUCUUGGCAUCAGAUGGCGAUGAAGGGCGUGGAAGACUGCGAUAAUCUUGGGGAAGUUGUCAAACGAGCGUUGAUCCCGAGGUUCCCGAAUUAUCAUAUACUGAAUACAUAGGUAUAUGAGGCACACGCGGUGAACUGAAACAUCUCAGUAACCGCAGGAAAGGAAAGCAACAGCGACUUCGUUAGUAGCGGCGAGCGAAAGCGAAUCUAGCCUAAACCGUCUUGCUUCGGCAAGGCGGGGUCGUGGGGCUUGUCAUUGUGGAGUUACAAAACUGUUUGCUAGAAGAAUUCGUUGGAAAGCGAAACCAUAGAGGGUGACAGUCCCGUAUUUGAAAGUAAACAGACUUCCGACAGGUACCCGAGUAGGUCCGGCCACGUGGAAUCCGGACUGAAUCUGGGAGGUCCAUCUCCUAAGGCUAAGUAUUCUCUGAUGACCGAUAGUGAAAAGUAGGGUGACCGAAAGAUGAAAAGAACCCCUGUUAGGGGAGGGAAAGAACCUGAAACCAUACGCUUACAAGCUGUCGGAGCACUAUUAUCUUCGGAUAAGUGUGACGGCGUGCCUUUUGCAUAAUGAUCCGGCGAGUUGUGGUAAUCGGCUUGGUUAAGUUCUGACGGAACGAAGCCCAAGGGAAACCAAGUCUGAAUAGGGCGUUGGUCGAUUGCUGCAGACGCGAAACCUGUGUGAUCUACCCAUGGGCAGGUUGAAGCGCGGGUUAA